rnacentral:rRNA from 1 species
CCUACGGGGGGCAGCAGUGGGGAAUAUUGCACAAUGGGGGAAACCCUGAUGCAGCAACGCCGCGUGAGUGAUGACGGCCUUCGGGUUGUAAAGCUCUGUCUUCGGGGACGAUAAUGACGGUACCUGAGGAGGAAGCCACGGCUAACUACGUGCCAGCAGCAGCGGUAGUACGUAGGUGGCGAGCGUUGUCCGGAUUUACUGGGCGUAGAGGGAGCGUAGGCGGACUUUUAAGUGAGAUGUGAAAUACUCGGGCUCAACUUGGGUGCUGCAGUUCAAACUGGAAGUCGAGAGGGUAGGAGAGGAGAAUGGAAUUCCUAGUGUAGCGGUGAAAUGCGUAGAGAUUAGGAGGAACAUCAGUGGCGAAGGCGAUUCUCUGGACUGUAACUGACGCUGAGGCUCGAAAGCGUGGGGAGCAAACAGGAUUAGAUACCCGGGUAGUC